rnacentral:tRNA from 1 species
GCCCAGGUGGUGAAAACAGUUAACACGCUUGGCUGCUAACUAAAAAGUUGUAGGUUUAAAUCCACCCUGAGGUG